GGCUGCCUGUGCAGCGUGGCCUCUGCCCGAACCGGCCCUGACGUACUUCCCCAACGCCAGGUCCAAGGAUUCGGACAGGGACCUCGUUGCAGCGGCAGCCCCAA
rnacentral:ncRNA from 1 species